GGCGUGGUGGCAGAGUGGUCUAAUGCGAUAGACUAGAAAUCUAUUCCCUUCGGGGGCGUCUGUUCGAAUCAGGCCCACGUCG
rfam:Fusarium oxysporum f. sp. raphani 54005 unplaced genomic scaffold supercont1.38, whole genome shotgun sequence.